UACGGAGGUUGCAAGCGUUGUUCAGAAUUACUGGGCGUAAAGGGAGUGCAGGCGGUUAGGUCAGUCUGAAGUGAAAGCCCGGGGCUCAACCCCGGAAGGGCUUUGGAUAUUGCCUAACUUGAGUACGUGAGAGGAGAGCGGAAUUCCAGGUGUAGCGGUGAAAUGCAUAGAUAUCUGGAGGAACACCGGUGGCGAAAGCGGCUCUCUGGCACGCUACUGACGCUGAGGCUCGAAAGCGUGGGGAGCAAACAGGAUUAGAUACCCCU
rnacentral:rRNA from 1 species